GUAAAUUAGUAAGUACUUUCAACCUAAUGAGUUUCAUAGCUAUUCUAGGAUUUACAUUAAAAAAGAAAAAGGAAAUAAGCAAGACGAUCUUAAAGAGAAGUUUGGGAAGGUAAACAAAUCUUCGAAAUUAUAAAUUCAAAGUGGGUAUUUAAAAGAAUUUGCAAUUUGAAGAAAUGUAAAACUAGUUGCAUGGUUAACAACUG
rnacentral:misc_RNA from 1 species